rnacentral:tRNA from 1 species
GGGGAUUUAGCUUAGUGGUAGAGUGCUUGCCUAGCAAGCACAAGGCCCUGGGUUCGGUCCCCAGCUCCA